rnacentral:pre_miRNA from 1 species
UUACUACUCCCUCCGUUCAGAAUUACUUGUCAUAGAAAUGGAUGUAUCUAGACAUUUUUUAGUUCUAGAUACAUCCAUUUCUGCGACAAGUAAUUCGGGACGGAGGGAGUAGUAG